CAAGAGUACGUGAAACUGCUUAGAGGUUAAGCCCGAUGAACCUGAAUAUCCCUUAUAGAAAAUUCAUCAUUAUGAUUUUAAUAUUUAUUUAUAAAUAUUAUAAUAAUGGUGUGCAUUUUUUCUAUAAAAGGACAUUGUAAUUUAUUAACAUAAAUUUUUAUAUAUUUAUCAUAAGAUCAAUUUCGCGUAAGUUUAUUCAAAUUAUUUUGUUUCAAUUUAAUAUCGAAUAAAUGCAUUUGAUUUGAUAAAGUGUUGAUAGAUUUAUUAUAUAUAGUGCUUAAAUAUAUUAUAUAUUUUAUAAAUAGCAUAUUAAUCAAUGAUUUUUAUGUUUAUUUUAUGCACUUAUAUGAUUAACAAUGCGAAAGAUUCAGGAUACCUUCGGGACCCGUCUUGAAACACGGACCAAGGAGUCUAACAUAUUUGCAAGUUUAUUGGGUAUUUAAAACCUAAUAGCGAAAUUAACAUAACUUUUUUAUAUUUAUAUAAAUGGGAUUAGUUUUUAGCCUAUUUAUAGUGUCUAAUAAUUCAAUCCCGGGGCGUUCUAUAUAGUUAUGUAUAAUAAUAUUUAUAUUAUUUAUACCUCUAACUAGAGCGUACCUUGAGCAUAUAUGCUGUGACCGA
rnacentral:rRNA from 1 species